rnacentral:lncRNA from 1 species
AUGGGCCCUUCCCGGCCGGACUUCCUGUGUGUGUUCCCCGCUGAUAACGGGGAGCUGUCAGCGAAUAAACAGGAGGCCCAGGGGCGGGCGGGGGCCGUCAAGGGGGUGGCCUGGCCGAACUGUGGGCAGGGGUGGGGGAGUCGUCCCCUGGGACCUCUAACUCUGAAGCAGCCGGAGACCAGCCUCAGGCCCGGCUGGCGACCCUGGGACCCACUGGUCCCUGUGUGGGGCAGAGGGCGUGGCUGGGAAGGCCCUGGGCCCAGCCACCUGGUGGGACCGCAGGCCACGUUCCUGCAGCUCUGCAGAAGGGACUGUUUGUUCUGUGCCCCUGGACUCUCCCCCAGGGCGUGUGCCCGCACCCCCAGAUGUGUGUGUCACAGGGUGGGAGGCAGGACCCACAGUCCUGGGCGGGGGCACCCAGCCAGAAGAGACCUGGGGACAGGCAAGGGAGAGAGGGAGCCAGGCCCUCUGAAGCCGACGAGAAGGACAACUGAGGCCCUUUGGCACCACGCCGCGUGCACGUGGGUCCUCGUGGGCUGUCACGCCUGCCCUGCCAGCUCCGGGCCGGGAUCCGACCCCCUUUACGGAGGAAUGACCUCUCGGGGCCACAGAGACUGGUGCGGGAAGAGCCUGACCUCUGACCCAGAGCUGAAGCUCUCCCGGGGCAUGGGCAGGCAGGGGUGUGGGGGCCGUGAGGGACAGAUGAGCCGGUCCCUGUCCCCCUACCAGGCCCCUGAGCCCCCUACCUGAGCCCCCUACCAGGCAGGCUCCUGGUACGUCAUCUGUGACUGCCCAUUGUCCCAGCGGCCAGGGGAAGCUGGGGCUGCUAGGAGGGGCGUCAGAGUCCCCUCCCCAGGGACACCGUGACGCCUUCGGGGUUGUCACGGGCGCCAGUGAAGGCAAGGGCAUUAGAAGCCGGGAGGCUUCCCUGCCUCAGUUUCCCCACGUGUCAGAUCAGAGUGUGGAGGGUCUGGGGGCCCUGGGCAGUGGGGGGGGGGGGGGUGGGUCCGGGGGCCUCCGAACUCCACCGAGUCGGGCGGUUUGUGCUGGGCCUUCCCAGGGUGGGGGGAGGAGGGGUCGGCAGCUUCCACCAGGUCCCCAGGGGGCCCGUGACCCCAAGUGCGGAGUCCGUGUGGGUGGCCUCGAAGCGUCUCCAGCAUCCCCCGUCCACGACCUCAGCUCCAAAGUUGCCUGUGAGUAUCAUUAUUUUUCAAUAUCCUUAAAAACGUAAAGAGAGAAAGGAAAGAGGCCAGAAAUCUCUGCUUCCUCUCAGCCAGGAAACAGGAAGUGAGUGUGCGGGGAGAUUGCGAGCCCGGCUGCAGGAACAAUGGGGCCCCCCCGAGGGAAAGGGGAACUGCGUCAAGCAAGCCGCCAGGGUGGGGGGCCCGCCUGACCUCUCCCGGCCGUGCGGGGGCCCCGCGUAAAUUUAGUCUGGGUCUUUCCUGAUGAAAAGCUCCAGUGCCCUGCUGCUGGGGGGAGGGGGCGCGAGGCCCACCGUGGCCCCCGGGCGUCGGGGCUCCUGGCCCCGUAGGGUCCAUCCAGCUGUGCCCUCCUCUCCCCUAUGGGUAAACCGAGGUCCAGGGGGGAAGAGCCUGGCCUGGGGGCCGUGCGGUGUGGGGAAGGCACACCAGCACCUGCGUGGUCAGGGCUGCCGGUCGUCCCCGGAGGGGCCCGCCUGUGCGGGCGGCAGAGAGCCCACGAGGCCCAGGACGCCAGGAGAAAUGCCUCCCCUCACGCCCCCUGCCUCAACGUACCACCUCGCGCCCUGCCGUUAAGGGAAAGCACGCCUGGCGGAGGCGGAGGGAGGGCAGCAGCGAACGGGCGCCGUGCCAGGCCUGGCUCUGGGCCCCUGGCGGCGCGAUCUCAGGCCGGGUCCAGGGGGGCCGUGACUCCUCAGCCCCACGGGUCAGCGUGGCGUCUCUGGCGCGGGCCCACGGAGCCGUAAGUCACACGGCGCACGGCGCCCUCUCUCCAAAGGUGCAAGUCCGCGGAGCGUCGUCUGGUGACGACGCCCAGCGGCCGCCAUCACGGCCGAUCUCAGAGCCCUUCCCUUGCUUCGAAAGCAGCCUGGAGCUUUGAGCGGUCGCCCCCGGAGCCCUCCCGUCCCGUCCCCGCUGUGCCUUCCGUGUCCAGACGUGUCCGUUCUGGAGUUUCACACGAGUGGGAUCCCACGCCGUGUGGCCCUUGCGUCGGGCUUCUCAGCACGUGCCAGGCCCGUGGGUUCCGUGGCGCGUGUCCGUGCCGCCCGGGGUGGGUCUGCCUCGUCCUGUCUGUUCCUCAGCCGGCGGACGUCGGGUCGUUUCUACCCUCUGGCUGUCGUGAACCCUGCGAACGCCCGCCCAGAUUUUUCCGUGGACGCGGACGCUCACUUCUCUCAGGUACAGACCUGGGCGUGGUGGGGUCAUGGGAUCGGGUGGCGGCUCUGUGGCCCCUUCUGCCCCCUCCUGCCUCUGUGAUCACACUCCCCUGCCCAGCCCCAGGAAGGCCGGAGGAGCCACUGAGGUCCUACGGGGACCCUGGGACGGCAUAGGAAGGGCACCCGUGGCGUGGAGCUCGUGGCCUCCUCCGGGCCGGCUCGAAGCUCAGCCCCAGGAGGCUCUCUCGGGACGUCACACGGCCUGUGGGCCGUCGCCUUUCUGCAGACUUGGAGCCGGGAGUCGAAGGGACCCCCCAGGAUGCUGUCCCAGACCCGGCCCUGGAGCCCCUUGGAGAUGCAGGUGUUCCGGAUCCUUGGGGUCCAGGCCAGUCCUGGGCAAGCCCCCAUCCUUUCCAGUGUCCUCGGGCCGUAAUGGUAAUGAUCAGACGCCCCAAGCUGAACCUUAGGGUUCCCCUUUGACCUCCGCUGUGCCAGGAGUGGACUGGGGUCCAGAGAGGCAAGCGCCCCCCGAGGCCAUCUGGCACAACGGCAGAGCUGGGCUUAGAGUCCAGGCCCCCCUGAGGCCUCCACGUGGCCGGCACCCGCUCGCUGCCGCCCAAGUGCGUUCUAGGAGCAGAGUGCUCCCUGGUGAGCAGGCGCCCCGUGCCUGGGUUCCCGGUGUCCUUGACCCCCUGCAUGUUCUCCACCAGCACCCACCACUGUUCCGGGGUCACUCGCCCCCGGGCGUGACCUUGGGAAGGUGGCCCGGUGUCCUUCCCCGGGAAGGGAGGGGAUUGGAGUCAGGCCUCCCUCCAGCCCGGCGACCGUGGUGGCAGCUUGUGAACAGGUACCAGGUGUGGGGGCCGCCCCGAGUCUGAGAGGUCGGUGGCACUGCCUCAGACCUCCGUCCUGGCCCCGAGGACGCCAGCCAGACCCUCAGCCAGGAUGCCCUGCAGCCCGUGGUGGCCCCCCGCCCCCACCCCCGGGCCCGCCCGGGGAUCGCAGCUUCCUGAGCCAACCCCGUUCUGCACAAUAGCCGGAAACGCCUUGCUCGGGCUGUGGUCCAGGCGGCCAUGUGUGGCCCUGGGAGGGCUGGGAAGGCUGCUCUGCGUGAGCGCCAAGCCCCCCCGGUGGCCCUGAGAGCCCCGCCGGCCUGUUGUCUCUGGGCGGACCAUGGCCACCUCCCCACGGAAGGCUGGGCCGGCGGGGUGUUCGGGACGCGGGCCACAGCUGGCCGUCAUGCCCAAGGCACGCCCCGCUCUGUGGUCAGGAAGGGGCGCCCCACCCCCACCGCGGCCCAGCCAGGAGGCUCCGCCGGGUUCGUAGGGCGAAGCGUAGAGGGCUCAGGGCUGUGUCUGUGCCGACGUCCACGGGAUCUUAGUGGGUCAGACUCAGGGGGUACAGGAGCGCCCCGAACCUCGCCCCCCUCAGCUCCCCACCCCCACACUUUAAAGGGACAGUAUCCAGAAGGGAGGGAAGCACCUUCCUCACCGGGCUGAUGCCCGGAGUCGCGGUCCAGCCGGGCCCAGCGCCCCUGCGGGAGGACACAGGUCAGGGACGAGGCUUCUGCCCCGGGAGGCGGAGAGGACGUGAUCCCUCCAGGGGCGGAGAAGCCAGCUGGCCUGUGGCUGGGAGGGGACAGGAAGGUCUCUCUGGGCCGGGCGUCACCGACUGGGGUUGUGUUUUGCCGCUCCAAAAUGGAAAUAGAUGUUUUCUGCGUAUCGUCAGGGCCGUGAAGUGAUACGUGCUGCUUUUGAAAGAGCCGGUGGAUUGGAAGCACGAAAGCCGACGAGAAAGCGGUGCGUCUCGCGUCCCACCGCCCGGCGUUUGCAGGGCUCCUGCGUGCCCGCGACGCCCCGC